UGUAAGCCGGGUUCUGUCGUGGACAAUCAUUCCUCUAGGCUUGCAUUUACACACAAGCUCAAGCAACCUACCCGAACUCUCGGCGGGCCACCGAUUGAGUUCCUAUUUGGUCUUGCUACGAGUGGAGUUUACCUAGCUGCCAAAUGUUACCACUGGCACGGUGCGCUCUUACCGCACCCUUUCACCCUUACCAGCCAAAGCUGGCGGUCUGCUCUCUGUUGCACUAGUCGUAGGCUCGCGCCCCCCGGACGUUAUCCGGCACUCUGCCCUGUGUAGCCCGGACUUUCCUCCCCACAGAA
rnacentral:RNase_P_RNA from 1 species